rnacentral:rRNA from 1 species
GACGAACGCUGGCGGCGUGCUUAACACAUGCAAGUCGAACGGAAAGGCCCUGCUUGCAGGGUACUCGAGUGGCGAACGGGUGAGUAACACGUGGGUGAUCUGCCCUGCACUUCGGGAUAAGCUUGGGAAACUGGGUCUAAUACCGGAUAGGAACCAUCUUUAGUGUGGUGGUUGGAAAGUUUUUUCGGUGUAGGAUGAGCUCGCGGCCUAUCAGCUUGUUGGUGGGGUAAUGGCCUACCAAGGCGGCGACGGGUAGCCGGCCUGAGAGGGUGUACGGCCACAUUGGAACUGAGCUACGGCCCAGACUCCUACGGAAGGCAGCAGUGGGGAAUAUUGCACAAUGGGCGCAAGCCUGAUGCAGCGAGGCCGCGUGGGGGAUGAAGGCCUUCGGGUUGUAAACUCCUUUCGCUAGGGACGAAGCUUUGUUGUGACGGUACCUAGAUAAGAAGCACCGGCUAACUACGUG